rnacentral:rRNA from 1 species
AUACGGAGGAUGCGAGCGUUAUCCGGAUUUAUUGGGUUUAAAGGGUGCGCAGGCGGCCAUUUAAGUCAGCGGUUAAAUCGUGGGGCUCAACCCCAUUCUGCCGUUGAUACUGGGUGGCUUGAUUGCGGUCGAGGUUGGCGGAAUUCGUUGUGUAGCGGUGAAAUGCAUAGAUAUGACGAAGAACACCGCUUGCGUAGGCAGCUGACCAGAUCGCAAAUGACGCUCAUGCACGAAAGUGCGGGGAUCGAACAGGAUUAGAUACCCUGGUAGUCCGCACAGUAAACGAUGAAUACUUGUUUUCGGCGAUAUAAUGUCGGAGGCAAAGCGAAAGCGAUAAGUAUUCCACCUGGGGAGUACGCCGGCAACGGUGAAACUUAAAGGAAUUGACGGGG